rnacentral:rRNA from 1 species
ACGGGAGGCAGCAGUAGGGAAUUUUCGGCAAUGGGCGAAAGCCUGACCGAGCAAUGCCGCGUGAAUGAAGAAGGUCUUCGGAUUGUAAAGUUCUUUUAUAAGGGAAGAAAAGGUUGUGAAGAGCAACGAAUUGACGGUACCUUAAGAAUAAGCCACGGCUAACUACGUGCCAGCAGCCGCGGUAAUACGUAGGUGGCGAGCGUUAUCCGGAAUUAUUGGGCGUAAAGGGUGAGUAGGCUGUUAAAUAAGUCUAAAGUGAAAUACUAUGGCUUAACCAAAGUAUGCUUUAGAAACUGUAUAGCUAGAGUUAGGGAGAGGUUAAUGGAAUUCCAUGUGUAGCGGUGAAAUGCGUAGAUAUAUGGAGGAACACCAGUGGCGAAAGCGGUUAACUGGCCCUAUACUGACGCUGAGUCACGAAAGCGUGGGGAGCAAACAGGAUUAGAUACCCUGGUA